UGGGGCUUGCUAUGUUCUUGGAGAAGGAUAUAGCCAGCUCGUUGGACAAACCAUUGCAAAUUGUUCCCUACAAGCCAAAAACUCCAAAAGAUGAAGAUCUUUUUGUGUCGCCAUGGAUGGGCAUUGUGGUUAACUUACAGUGUGAGUUGAUGAAAGGCAAAGAAUUUUCCAGGGAAAGUGAAGAAAGACUAACAGCGCAGCUCUCGCGGUUCAGACCCCUCCAAGCCACGAUUCUUGGGGAUGAGAAGGACCAACCGUUUUGCGCUAUCAUCGAGUUUGCUAAGUACUUGAGUGGAUUUAAGGAUGCAAUGGCUUUUGAAAACCAUUUCAUACUCGAGCACUACAGUAAGCCUGAUUGGAAAAAACGAAAUUGCAGAAAGGACGAUCUUUAUGGAUGGAUUGCAAAAACAGAUGAUUUCAACUCCCCUGGGCCAAUUGGGGAGUAUCUACGGAAAAAUGGAAAUCUUAAAAGUGUCGCUGACCUGGAACGAGAGGGACUGAAAGAAACUGGCAAGCGUGUAGUUCAUUAUGCUCUCCAAAUUGAGGACACAAAUGAACACAUGCUUGAACUGGAGCAGAAGAAGAAUGUGAAUGUCAUGAAACUUUCUAGGAUGUUGGAGGAGAAUGAUCGAUUGGUUGAAGAGCACAAUGAAAGUAUGUACAUACAUUUUGGUCUUGCACUCGUUUUUACAUCAUAUAUAGCAUACUAAUUACUAAAUGAUAUUACUUGUUUUCUUUAUGUCGAAAUUUGAAACACAAAAUCUGAAUGGCUAAAUAUACUUGGAUUCAGCACGUUGUGGUCAUGUGCUCUCUGAAAUUACUGAGUUUGUUUUGCUCCUUUGAUCACCAGGGAUACUAAAAAUGCAGAAAGCUGCUCGUCGAAAUUCUUGGAAAAUAAUUAAUGACAAUAUUAAAUUGCAUGAAGAACUGGAAACCAAGAAAAAAGAAAUUGCCAGGAGACAUGAGGAACUCGAAAAGUCGGUUAUAAAUAGUACUGACAGAGAAAAGCUUGAAGCGACAAAAGAAGAGGUAUGUCCUCGUUAUGUUUUCUAAUACUGUUUGAUGUUCCUGAACUCAACAAGCUUCUCAUCUGUUUCUUAUUUAGUAUGUAUAUAUAUUUUUUCUGAGAUGUUAUUUAAUUUAAUAGUAUAUAUUUGCUAUUAAAUGCUCUUACAGAUUGCAAAGGAGAACAAGCUUCUUGAUUUAGCAACCCUAAAGCAGAAGGAAGAAGAUGAGAAGUUCUUAAAACUUGUUAAGGAACAAGAGGUAUUGCACUCUCACUAUUUUGGGCAUUUACCUGGUGAAAAUCCGUUCUAACUGGCCAAAAACUGCAGCAAGAGAAAGAAGAAAUUAUGAAGACGCUAUAUGAUUUAGAAAUGCAGUUGGCUUCCAAACAAAAACUUGAACUGGAAAGAGAACAACUGAGGGGGAAUCUUGAGGUACAGAAGCAUAUGGCAGAGGAAGAUGCAAAAUCGAAGGAGUUGCUCGAUAAGUUGCAUGAAGAACUUAAAGAGAAAGAUGAAGAAAUGGAGGGUAUUGAUUCUGUGAACCAGGCCCUUAUUAUUAAGCAUCGAAGAACCAAUGAUGAGCUGGAAGAAGCCAAGAAAGAACUGAUUACUGUAUAAGCUCUAUACUAGCGACUCAGCUUCUUCAGUUAUUUGUUCCUUUUUUUCUUUCUCUGAGAACAAUUUACUUGCUAUGUAGGGCCUAGUUAAUAUGUCAUCAGCUCGAUCCACUGUUGGUGUCAAAAGAAUGGGUGAGCUUGAUGAGAAAACUUUCCUUGCUGCUUGCAAAGAGAAAAUUGCAGAUGAGGAGGAGUUGGCAAUUCUGUGCUCGAAAUGGGAAGAUGAGAUCAGGCAUCCAGAAUGGCAUCCUUUCAAAGUUAUACAUGUUGGUGGAGAGGCAAAGGUGCUUCAUUCCUCACUGCUCAAUAGCUUCUCAUUUUCCCCUUUUAUGUAGUUUCUUGCAGUGGUUAGAAAAUGGGUAGCAGCAGCAGGUUCGUAGUUGUUCCUUUAAAAGGGUCAGAGAUGCUUUCUAGGUUUCUGGGUUUUUUUUGGGUGCCAUAGAGAUACAGAUUUUAUUUAACCGUAUUACUUUAUGAGCUACAAAUUUUUGAAUUAUUGAAUUGAGUUAUGUUAUUUCAGUAAUCCAUAAAAGCAGUGCUUUUUAUUUGUUAACUUGUAGGACUGUGAAAUAGUUCGUUUCCUGUUUUUCAUACCAUUGUUUCUUUGCUUGUUUGUGUGUUGCUGCUGUGACUUGGAUGCUAGUAGAUAAGAAAGUGUCGUUUGAGUUUAUAACCUUGUGGCUUGUGGGAAUAUGUACUAGAAACACUUUUUUAGGUAAUCAUCAUGGAAGUCCUUUGCUUGCAAUGUUCUUUGGACAUCAAAUACGUCACCUACUUAGAUAUUAUAGCAUGUCUGCGACACAUUAAAUUGGCAGAAUACUCUUUUGAACUGAAUGAAUUGUAAAUACCAUUAAUCUUUUUGAAGAACAUUUCCAGUUUUGUAAUUCAGGAAGAAAACCGAUUUGUAAACAAAGAUACAAAAAGCUUGAAAUAGUUUCACUGGAGCCAACUGUUACUGCACUUCCUUCUGUCCAUCUGUUCUCGAUUUAAUUUAACUGAGCUAUAUCCAAAAUAAGUUAACUUUCAAUUUUACCAUGUGUGCAUUGAGUCACUUUUAGAUUGCCCAGAUAGUAGCCAAGUCAUUAUUUUUAGCAUUUUCUUUGUGCUUCUGCCAUCCAACUUGUCAACAUUAGUACUUCCUACAAUUAGCACUACAGUAUUUUUCUUUUCCACACAAGAAUGUGGUGUGAAAGCGAAACCACUUCUGCUUGACACACUGACUGAAAUUCAAUACAAGUUCUUCAUGAAAUAGAAAAAAAAAGUAAUUUGUCGCAACAAAAUCCCUUCAGAAGCUGAAGCUGACUUUAGCUUGAAAUGCUUAUUAUUUCAGCUAACCUGUGUUGAAGCGUGCGUGCAGUGUCUAAACAACAUUCAUUGGCUGGUGCAGGAAAUAAUUAUGGAGGAUGAUGAGAAGCUGCAAGCUUUGAAGGCUGAACUGGGUGUGAAGGCACACGAUGUGGUGGUCAAGGCCCUCCGUGAGAUGAACGAGUAUAAUCCAAGCGGCAGGUACCCCAUACCAGAGCUGUGGAACUUCAGGGAGGACCAGAGAGCACCAAUGGGCGAGGCAGUAGCCUACAUAGUGAAGCGGUGGAAGGCGAACAAGAAGAAACACACCUACUACUGAUGAAGUAGCGCCUGAUGGCCCCUUGGCUUGCUGGACUGCGUUGUGCCAUUGGUUCCUGGGUGGCUGGGUCGAUGUCUCUGAGAAGUGAGAACUAGGAGCCUGAGACCCUCUACUGAUGAAACCUAGUACCAGUAGUACUACUAAAUUUGUCCGAUCUCUUGGACGGUUGGAUUUGCAAUGCAAUGGUCUAUGGCACCUAGUACAAAGAUCUAUUAUUGUGGAUAAAAAAACAUAGUGUGUUUAAUAAUUGGACUUUGCUAGAGCGUGCAUGUGCCGGAAAUUGGAUUUCCGGCUGCACAUUCCAAUUUGGGGAAAGAAAUUAUUUUGGUUGCCAAAAAAAGGAAAAAAAAAAACACAGACCAAAUCUAGGGUUCACUGAUUUUGAUGCCCUCGCCCCGACCGUUGGCCACCGCCCUGCCGCGGGCACUAGGGUCCCCUCCCCCCUCCCUUGCUGCCAUCUUUGGUAGCUUUGACGAGCAUACCUGUCGUUAUGUUCUCCAGCUCUGGAGAGCAUCUCCUGCUCUGACCUAGGCCGACUGCCCCUACUACUGUCAACCUUGAGCCGCCCAUUGACCAUCACCAAUUCCCCACCGCUUGCCUGUCUCCCUAAAUCCUCUUCUCUUUUCUAAGCUCACUGGAGUUGAGCAAGAGAAGGGGAGAGCUCGUCAGAACUCUAGAUAGCAGAUCCAAAAGGAGGACGAAGAGGCCUACCUGGCCGCAGAUUCGGUGCCCGCAUCCGCCAUGGCCGCACUUGGGGGAGGCGGUGGACGAAGAGGCCUACAUGGCGGCAGAUUCGGUGCCCGCAUCCGCCAUGGCCGCACGUGGGGGAGGCUGUGGACGAAGAGGCCUACCUGGCGGCAGAUUCGGUGCCCGCAUCUGCCAUGGCCGCACGUGGGGGAGGCGGUGGGGCACGGGUAUGGACACGAGGAGGCGGUGGGAUGUCGGUGUAGGCCGCCAGAGCUCAUCGAGCGCGGAUCUAGCCACUAGAGCUCACCGGGCGCAGAUCUAUCACGCUGCUGCCAUGGUUGCCUGAGAGAGAGAGAGAGAGAGAGAGAGAGAGAGAGAGAGAGAGAGAGAGAGAGAGAGAGAGUGGG
rnacentral:lncRNA from 1 species